GCGUCGUCAAGAUUAAUCGCUUGAUCUCUUUAAACUUGGGGACUUUUUGUCUGGGUGAAAUAGGGGAAUGGAAAGAGGUUUUGUUGUGCUAUCAUUGGACGAUGAGGAAGAGGAGGUUGUUCAGGUGCAGAAAGAGUCAGAUCCAGUUUCUGCGGAAGAGGAUUUUUGUUUGGUAGAGUGUUUUUUAACAGCAAGUGUUAUAC
rnacentral:lncRNA from 1 species